GGCUAGUGGCUCAGUGGUAGAGUACUCACCUAGCAUGCAUGAGGCACUGAGUUUGAUCCUCAGCACCA
rnacentral:tRNA from 1 species